rnacentral:rRNA from 1 species
GACAGAGGGUGCAAACGUUGUUCGGAAUUACUGGGCGUAAAGCGCGUGUAGGCGGCUAUGCAAGUCGGGCGUGAAAUCCCACGGCUCAACCGUGGAAGUGCACCCGAAACUGCGUAGCUAGAGUCCUGGAGAGGAAGGUGGAAUGCUUGGUGUAGAGGUGAAAUUCGUAGAUAUCAGGAAGAACACCGGUGGCGAAGGCGGCCCACUGGCUCGAUACUGACGCUGAGGUGCGAAAGCGUGGGGAGCAAACAGG